rnacentral:pre_miRNA from 1 species
GAACACUGGGCAUGUAGCAUCACUGACAGAACACUGGGCAUGUAACAUCAGUGAUGUUACAUGUCCAGUGUUCUGUCAGUGAUGCUACAUGCCCAGUGUUC